UACUGCCUUGUAACGUCAAGCGUGCUAACUGUCGUGAAAGCACUUCGACGGAGAAAGAAGUGCGCAUGACGCUAAUAAGUCAGUCUUAUUAUUUGUUCUCCAGUUUGAAAUAUUUACGUCGUAUAAAAUACAUAUUUGAUUCUUUAUUUAAGGAUAAAUCGUCUCGAUGCGCUAGAAGCACUGUGCCGCUUCUUCUCCUGCUAUCUUUGCUUGUUAGUUAGCUUAGCUCGCUAGUUAGCUUAGCUUGUUAGCUGCUAACAGAAGACACAGAAGUUAUCAACACAUCGCUAAGUAGAGAUCAAGUGUGAAAGUAAAGUGUUGUGAUUGUGGGAAAAUGUGCGAAAGAACGAUAGAGAACAAGGCAUAACUUUGUCCAACAAAAGAGGAGAAGGAGCGACAACAUCAACUACUGGACGCUGUUUUCAAGAAACAUCAAGUUGUGUUACACAGAACAGACGUCUGUGAAGAUCAUCUUCUCUCUGAGCAACAGGAGUGGAGCUUCAGGAUGGUGAAGGAGGAGCCACAGCCCUCUUACUUUAAAGAGGAAGACAAGGACCCACUCCCCCCCCCACUUUAAAGAUGAAGAGGAAGUGCCAGAGACCCCACACUUUAUAAAGAAAGUGAAGGAUCCACUGACCCCCAACUGUAAACAAAACAAGGAUGAACCACUGACCCCCCACUUUAAAGAGGAGGAGGAGGCGCCACAGACCUCGCACAUUAAAGAAGAGGAGGUGGAAUACAACAUCAGUCUGGGGGGAGAGCAUAUUGAAGGACUGGUGGAGUUCCCAGUGACUGGUGUCCCUGUGAAGAGUGAAGAUGAUGAGGUCAAAGGUGAAAGUGAGGAGAAGAGAGAGGCGGAGCCUCCAAGCAGCAGCUCAACACAACACAUGACAACAGAAGCUGAUGGAGACCACUGUGGAGGAUCACAAGCAGACAAGCUCUUAGCUCCACUAUCAGAUAGUGAGGACACAACGUCACACUCUCCUAACACUGAUGAUGAAGACUCUAAAGAUGAUAAGACAUGUCACACUGACGACACUCACUUGAAAUGUUCUCACUGUGACAAAAACUUUAAAUACCACAGUGAUCUGAAAACACAUAUGAGAAUACACACUGGAGAAAACCCCUUUACCUGCUCAGUAUGUGGUAAAAGUUGUGGACUAAGUCAGAAUUUGAAAGUACACAUGAGAAUACACACCGGAGAAAAACCUUAUGUCUGUUCAAUCUGUAGUAAAAGUUUUGUACAAAGAAACCAUUUGGAAGUACACAAGAGAACACACACUGGUGAAAAACAUUUUUCCUGUUCAAUCUGUGGUAAAGGUUUUAGAGAAAGUCACAAUUUGAAAAGACACAUGAGAACACACACUGGUGAAAAAUCACAUUCCUGUUCAAUCUGCAACAGAAGCUUUUGUCAACGACCAAACCUUGUAGCACACAUGAGAAGACACACAGGAGAGAAAGUGUUGAGUUGCAGUGUGUGUGGUGAAAGAUUCUCAUAUAAGUACCAGUGUAAGAAACACAAGUGUGCUGGUGAGAACAGCAGCAGCAAAUGAAACUGCAGGAUUAGAAAUAAACUGUCAAGACUUUAAUUUUGACUUUCUAACUACAUCAGCACAUAUAACAUGUGUGACAUUGUUGUUUGUGUAAUAAUCUUCUUAAUAUGCUUCUACAUUUAUAAAUUAGAUAUUUUAUAUUAGUGCUUUUUUCAGUCAAGUACAUGCAUUAAAAUGCAACAUUGUGUAUGUAGUAGAAUUUCUGACCUUUGACCUAUAGUUCAUGUCUGUCAAAAAUGUAUGCUCAUUUUGAUUUCUCUUCCUCUUCUGUGGGACAAAAGUGAACUUUAAGUCGUGCCAACCUGUCUAACUGAAUGUGUUGACUGUCUAAAAGAUUCGAGUUGUUAUGGAACAGAUAGGGAAAACAAAACAAGACAUUGACGCACUAACAAGAGAGAUAAGAAAGGGAUAAAGCCAAACGAAGAGUGUGUUUUGGACACCAUCUUCUUUUUCAUGGUGACGGGCGCGCCCGGGGGGGAAACUUUCUGUGUGCUAGACAACUCAACCCAACCAUUGUACCAUUUGAUUAUGAGUAAAAUAAAACUCUUGUGUUAAAUCUACUUUGGUUCUCAUUGACAACCUGGACUUUCCACUACAAAAUUGGCGUCACGAACUAGGAUGGUCCAGAACUCUGCAAGUCAACAUCCGAUCCCGGCUUCUCUCUCAGGCAGACAACGCUUGCACGCGCGCAUCUAAUAAAAGUCACAAGAUCAGCACUUCUCAGGACCAGCAGCUUCCUAGGAAGGUGGAAAGACCAUGAGACCAAAAUGGUAAGUUUGCAAAAUGUAGAAUUUGUGUGCCAGUUCCUCUGUGCAGAUUUGAGGAUGAAAGCAGCCACUCCAGAUUCCCUUGCACUCGCUAAGAGGGGCACGGUCAAAGCCGAUCCAGGACCAACACCCGAUACCUGACUGGAAGGAACCGAGAGGAGAGACAACACCUUGCCAGCGAUGACGAGAACAACUAACGUUGCCAGCCAAUAUGUGUCCACCGGGACUCCAGCAGCUGUGGAAAGAAGUGUCGGGAGUGCCGAAGCAGCGAGGAGGCGUUGAAGCAAGCCGAGGGCCUGGACCAAAGCCCCAACGCCCCAUACUUUGCCCCGCCUUCCCCAAAGCCCCAUACUUUUCCCCAAUUUCGGCCAGCACGGACAUGCCAUUAAACAGUCUGCCCAAUGGACUGAACCACACCCCAAGAACAGACAGAGACAGACUGUUUGAGUGGAUCUCUUUCUUCACCAAGGCAGCCAAAAGCCCAACGAGGUGUCGGCAGGCCACCAGCCUGAGGCACCACCGAGCCAUCCAUACGAGCACUAAUCGAACAUGGACUCAUACGAAAUUCAGUUGUGUGUACAAAAUCAAUUGGUAACUACAUUCAUUGCAAAUGCCGGGAAAAAUAAUAAUGCAACAGCUUACAGUCAUAAGUCUAUAUUAAUUCUAAACCAGAUCUUGUUUGAUUCAUUAUUAAUGUGAAAAUACAUCUUGAAUAAGAAUAUAUAUAUUCAUCUAAUUAUGUUCAUGAUCAAAGUAUUUUGGUAUUACGUUACUAACUCAAAGGGUAGGCCACUAAUUGUGUUCUGUGAGAUGGUUUUACUGCAGGCUGGUAACAGCGAUCGCUCUGAAGGAGGGUCAUAGACGGAAUUUUUGCCUCGUAUAAAAACAUUGAGGUUUUUGCCUCUAUCUGCGGUAGAGAUUUAAUUUAGUGGUCUAUAUCAGAAAUUGUUUUGGUCCAGGGUCUUAAGACCCUGGAAGGCGGGUAUGUAGUAGAAUUUCUGACCUUUGACCUAUAGUUCAUGUCUGUCAAAAAUGUAUGCUCAUUUUGAUUUCUCUUCCUCUUCUGUGGGACAAAAGUGAACUUUAAGUCGUGCCAACCUGUCUAACUGAAUGUGUUGACUGUCUAAAAGAUUCGAGUUGUUAUGGAACAGAUAGGGAAAACAAAACAAGACAUUGACGCACUAACAAGAGAGAUAAGAAAGGGAUAAAGCCAAACGAAGAGUGUGUUUUGGACACCAUCUUCUUUUUCAUGGUGACGGGCGCGCCCGGGGGGGAAACUUUCUGUGUGCUAGACAACUCAACCCAACCAUUGUACCAUUUGAUUAUGAGU